rnacentral:misc_RNA from 2 species
AAGAGUAUAGAGGCUUCAUGCCUACUAACUCCACCCUUUGUUUACAUACCUUUGUUGCUUUGGCAGGCCCGUCGAAAGACAACCGGCUCCGGCUGGUCAGUGCCUGCCAGAGGACCUAAACUCUUGUUUAAUCAUAUUGUCUGAGUACUAUAUAAUAGUUA